CUCAGGGAUGGGCCACAAUGGCGCAGCCACUCUUCCUUCAGACUCUUGAACAGCCUGAUCUUUUACAAAGAAUGGUGACUUCACUGUCCGGACUCCAGAGAGAGAGGACACCAUCUGCCUUCUCUUCCACAUUCUCUCUAGGUUAUGCCGACUCUGGUGUGUUCUUACUUGCACGUUUGCGUUCCAGGACUUGCUGCAGUGUAGUCUCCUUUUUUUCUGAAGAAAAGACUGAGGUUCAACGGACUCAGCUCAUUAGAGCCUGGCAAAGAGACCAAAGAACAAAAUGGCCCAUUAAACAGGACAACGAGUGACGGUUGGCUGAGACCUUUAAGACAAUGAAAAAUUCUAAGCAGGAACUAAGAAAGAAAGAGGGGACUAUACAGCACAGCUUUCCGGAUACCCAGCCACGCCUCUCUCUGCAUCCCUCCCCAAAGCGUCUCCUCUGCUCCCCCUUCCCUGUUUUCCUUUAACUCAUUUGAGGGAUCGUAAUAAAGACUGUGUGCAGC
rnacentral:lncRNA from 1 species